AUAAUUUCCCUCGUUAUACCAACAUAGAUGUCACGGUUAAAUGAUUUUGAUUUGAACAUUUGUUUUUUAUACUACCAAGCGAGCAAAGUGGCAUACGGCCCGUAUGAUGAUGCCGCCCCCACCAGGCACUGAGCACCCCCCGCACCACCCCCUACAUCAACCCCCGGGCCUCCAUGGACCACCACAUGAACCACCACCACCACAUAACCCACCACACCAACCGCCACCACCAAGACAUUAACUUAUCAAUGAUGUGAUAUUGCGGUAACCACUUACCAGCGGAUGUCAAGUUGGUAGAAAGCUACAAUACAACGAAAAGUAUUACUAUUGUGAUUAUGUUACGAUAAGUUUGUUUAAUUUAUCAUUAUACGUUUAAAGCAA